rnacentral:lncRNA from 1 species
UUUUGCCGGCUGCUCUCUUUUGGUUGCGUUGACUCGUUAUCGCGCUCCACUAACUGAGCCCUAUUUACAACAUCUGAAUACAAACACAGUUUAUGAGAAAUAAGAUGUUGACGUAUCUCCGGCUUCAAACCUCUUAAAAACAUCCGCGUCAUUCUCUCUUCAUUAUCCACCAAGUGGGACGCAAACCGGGACAACUCGGCAAACUUUGCUUCGUACUGCGACACGGUCAUAUUAUUCUAUUCCAACUUGAUGAACUCCACC